AGGCAAACUAAGUUUUCAGGCAAAUAUGUAGAGAAAGAACUUAUAAAGAAAAAAAGUUAAACUGAUUAAUUUUCAUGUUCAGAUAGUUUCAGCAGUUUGAGGCAUCUCUAGAGUUGUCUGGACUGGCUUGCUGGAAGUUUGCCCUCCUCUCUUUCAGUGUAUCUAGAUGUUAUCUCAACUCCCUUCUCACAAUCUCAUUACCUCUGGAAGCAGAUAUCUGGUCACAACUGACAUUGUGAGAAGCAGCAGUGUAGAGACUGAAGCAUUCUUUCAGCAUCUAAUUCAAUCAAAAUCUGAAGGCUGGUUCCCAGAGGAAGAGAUGCAUACAGACUCAGUUAAAGUGUUUCCAGACGGAGACUUCUCAAAGGAAGUCAGGAUCAGAUGAAAUAAGGAAAUGUGAACCAUUUCCACCUGUGUAUUUCACCAUUUUCUGGAAUACUAAAGCCUGGUUCUUUUCUCAUUUAUCUGGUAAAAUAGUUUUAGAUUGUUUCUUCUUCACCCUUGCUUAAAUGAGGAGUCUGUCCAAGGCCCUGGGGGCUCUAAUAUGGCCCUGACCAAACCUUCUCAAGCCUCCUCCCAGGCCUUACUGUGGGAUGGGCUCUGCCCCACCAGCCCUGGGACUUCCUCUGUUUACCAGCCCUCGCUGCUGCCUGAUGGAGCCAGAAGAGGGACUUCCUGAUGGAGCCAGAAGAGGGACUGUCUGAAAAAGACAAGACUGAUGGAACCAAGAAGCACCUGUAAAUUUAUUGCAAAUUUUUCCCUUGCACUGGGCACAGUACAGGUCAGAGAGCUUUCAGUCUGGAGAAACACAGCUGUGUUUUGAGUUUAAUCUGCAUCAGGUGAUGCCUACAGUCUGUAAGUAUCUCAGAGAAUGUGCCUAGGCUGAACCUAAAUAAAGCAGCACAGCCAUAAGCAUA